AGAUUCUGCAGCCUGCAUUUUAGUCAUGUCAUGCAUUCCUCAGCAACGUACAGGAGGGGUAAAAAAAUGCAUCACUCUCCAUCAAUGCGCAGGGCUUUCCUCGGCUUUCCCCGAGAAAACCACUGGGGACCAGAGGGAAACGAGGAGGAGGAGGAGAAGAGGAGGCUGUGUGUUCGGUCUGCUUACUGACUACAAAGCCCUUUGUUUACAUUGUGUCACUUUUGUUGCGUGGCGUGCUGUUCUGAAGCAGGAUACUCCUGGGGAAUGUGUACGUAAACUCCUGGCUUCCACUGUAAGGGAACGAAACCCGUCAACGAUGGCCAGCGUCUGCGUGUUGAUGGACAGAAGGCACGCUAUCCUGCAAUGCAACGAAUCAGCCACCAGGAGGGACUGCAGUAUGAGUAAAUCACCACAGCAGGUACAUGUUGCAGGACCAACAGACUUGUCGGGCCCAAAGGAGGAGCAUGACUGAUAAAAGAGUCCGGCGUGGGAGUGCUAGUAAACAGGUGGCAGAUGUAGCAGAAUCCAGGCGGGCGCGGGAGGGGGAGAGGAAAGACGAAAGAGAAGAACAGCAUAAUUCGAUACCAGCCUGCAGAGAGGACAGCAGGGGAUGAGGGAGGCGGCCAAGAACGAGGGUAUAUGCUACAUGUAGGGUGGGGGGGCUCAUUUAGAAAUGAUUGCUGAGGGCCUCCAGCAUACACUUGUGCCUGUCCAAAUAUUUAUCUUGUCACACAACCCGACAGAAAUAUUCAGAGAAGAAGCACAGAGGACUUCAGGUGUGGUUACCUUAAUAACUUUUAAUUGAAAAAAAAAAAAAAAAAAACUUUUUUUGCAGCACAAGAUUAAAUGACAAUGACUUCCAAAGAAUAAAAAUGCCACGAUUGAUCAUUCAUAAUUUAAAGAAAAUGCUUCACCUCAAUGUUGGCACUGAAGGUGCUAAACAUCCAUAAAGUGUGUCGUAACCCUUCAUAAAUGCAAUAAACUGCAUGUAGACAGCAGGCUUGUACGUUACAAAAACAGCACUGUUAUUUACAGAGUUCUCCACACAAAUUGCCCCAUAACCCAUACCCAGCAUGGGUGGGAUUGGGCAAAAAAACAACAACAAAAAACCCCACUUAAAAUAAAUUCUUAUUUUAAUGUUGUACCAUAAUCUCACAGAAAAAAUUUUAACUCAAAAAUCAAAUUUAAGUUAUUUGUUGGGGGAAAUCAUGUAUCUUGGGAAAUAAUUGUUUUAUUUUACUUCUCAAAAAAUUACAGGUAUUGCAUUGGCAACCCCAACAAUUCCUUUAAAACAAAUGAUAAGUAAUUCUCUUAAUUAAACUUCUAUAAACUUAAAAUUUCUUUUGGCCACUAAUGAAAACGGGUAAGACAAGAAAACAUGCCAUUUAUGCAAGGAAUUAACUGGAGCCAUUUGAUUUGAUCAGAUUAGAGUAAAACUGAGCUUCUUGGCAGCAAACGUCCCAAGUGAACCUGGCAAUAACAAAAAUAAUGACAAUUAAAAUAACAUCUUAUGUCCGCUGUUGAGCACAGUGAGCACAGAGUGAUGAUCUGGACCUGUUUCUCUUUCAAAGACAUUGGAAAUCUUGCCAAAAAUGAAACAUAAAAAAAAAA